CCUGGUCGUGGGAUCUUUCCUUUCAACUCUUAUUCUUGCCUUCCCUUCCAUAUGAAACUGGAUAAAAUCAGAGAUUGAAGAUGUACCUGACUCUGGAUUGAUGCAACGGUAGCGCCCUCUACUGUUACAACAUGAAUGUCAUCUGACUCUGCACAAAUAACUUUUUUCAAGUUUCUUUAAGUUUUGUUCCAACCAAUGUAAUCAAAUUAAAUAAGUACAGUAAAAAAUAUAAUGUUGAGUGCAAGGUUAUAUAUCUGAAUUUAUUUGAUUCUGUCAUUCUUUUCAUUUAUCAGUACUUUUAAUCGGUGCUUUGGAACUGUUUUUUAUUUUUAUUUCACUUUGGUUUUAUUGAUUUUACAAUCUUUUUUGUUUAUAUUUGGAGUACUACUGUAUUCAACAUAAAUAAACAUAGUACUCGUCACCCAGUAAAUCAUUGUCCUAGUAAAGUGGGAAUUAUUGUUAAUAUAAUUACUGGUUUCGUAACCUUGCUUUUCGAGGAAUGGAACAAUUACAAAUCUUGAAAUGUUGUAAAACUAAUAAUAGUGUGAAGAGCUGACCUAAUAACACUAUCACACUGAUAUUUAUCUGGAAACAAAAUCCAUCAUAAUAUUUUUAAGCUGUUAAUGAAGUAUAACAUAACA